UACGUAGGGUGCAAGCGUUAAUCGGAAUUACUGGGCGUAAAGCGUGCGCAGGCGGUUGUGCAAGGCCGAUGUGAAAUCCCCGGGCUCAACCUGGGGAAUGGCAUUGGUGACUGUACGGCUAGAGUGUGUCAGAGGGGGGGUAGAAUUCCACGUGUAGCAGUGAAAUGCGUAGAGAUGUGGAGGAACACCGGUGGCGAAGGCGGUUCUCUGGGGCCUGUACUGACGCUGAGGAGCGAAAGCGUGGGGGAGCGAACAGGA
rnacentral:rRNA from 1 species